UACGUAGGGUGCAAGCGUUAAUCGGAAUUACUGGGCGUAAAGGGCGCGUAGGCGGCUUUUCAAGUGACGGGUGAAAUCCCUCGGCUUAACCGAGGAACUGCCUUUGAUACUGGCGACCUUGAGUCCGGGAGAGGUGAGUGGAACUGCGAGUGUAGAGGUGAAAUUCGUAGAUAUUCGCAAGAACACCAGUGGCGAAGGCGGCUCACUGGCCCGGUACUGACGCUGAGGUGCGAAAGCGUGGGGAGCAAACAGG
rnacentral:rRNA from 1 species